UGCGAAGCUCGCUCUCGUCUUAGCUUGCAUCACCUACCACAUAAACUUACCUCACUAGUAUAUAAGCUUAUUUCCUGAUCUUUCCAAGAAGCACAUAUACCUUCGCCCUUCGCCCUAUACCAUACGCCAACAGACAAGUGUUAAAGAGGUACACCUUACACAUCUCAUCGCUUAGUUAAACUACAGCUUUCCAUCUCGUGUCCAAGGCCGGACCUUGUUGGGGACGAGUCGUAACAUCAUGUCAGUUAGGAAAGACGAUAAUGAUGUACAUGGCAUUAAUGAUGGUGACUAUCAUUUAUUAUAUAAAUAUACAGCAAUACAGUUGAUACAAGGCAAGUAUGGCUGCGCACGGCAAAACCACUUCAAAACUUGUCUUUCCUAAUAACAUUACCGCCCCUUGCUGCCAACACUGGGCGGACACUACCAACAUUGUUUUGCCGUUUGGCCGCUGUAGGAGUAGCACUGCCACCAUUACCAGUAGCAUUUGAUGGCGUAGUGAAAAGCAGGGUUUGCCGUUUGAGUGAACUUGUAUUUGAAGGUCUCCGAACCGCUGAGGACGUGAUGGGGGUCUUGGAUGCCGAAGAAGGUUCAUAUGCAUAUUGUUUGAUCCGCUG
rnacentral:sRNA from 1 species